rnacentral:rRNA from 1 species
GAUGAACGCUGGCGGCGUGCCUAAUACAUGCAAGUCGAGCGAACAGAUGAGGAGCUUGCUCCUCUGACGUUAGCGGCGGACGGGUGAGUAACACGUGGAUAACCUACCUAUAAGACUGGGAUAACUUCGGGAAACCGGAGCUAAUACCGGAUAAUAUAUUGAACCGCAUGGUUCAAUAGUGAAAGACGGUUUUGCUGUCACUUAUAGAUGGAUCCGCGCCGCAUUAGCUAGUUGGUACGGUAACGGCUUACGAAGGCAACGAUGCGUAGCCGACCUGAGAGGGUGAUCGGCCACACUGGAACUGAGACACGGUCCAGACUCCUACGGGAGGCAGCAGUAGGGAAUCUUCCGCAAUAGGCGAAAGCCUGACGGAGCAACGCCGCGUGAGUGAUGAAGGUCUUCGGAUCGUAAAACUCUGUUAUUAGGGAAGAACAAAUGUGUAAGUAACUAUGCACGUCUUGACGGUACCUAAUCAGAAAGCCCCGGCUAACUACGUG